GCCACUGUUUACAAGCAGUGUAUAGAAAAAAUCUGCCGCGUUAGGUCAUAUUGCAAACGUGUGUCUGUCGAUUUUUGAGCAUACCAAGGCGAAAAUUAAACAAAUAUAAUAAUCAAAAUGUGCAAAGUGCUGUGUCAGUGAAAUUAAACAGAUAAAAACCAAACAGUGUGGGUGUAAAAUGCUUUAGCAAGUGUAAUUUAUUGGAAAUGCAAUUGUAAGGCAAGCACAUUUUUUGAACGAGUCGUCAAGGGAAUCGCAAAAAUAGUUUACGGCAGCCAUUAGUCGGUUAGCAGAGACAAAGAUUUUCCCGUUGCGUGUGUGCUGGUUUGAUACAUCGUGCGCUCCCCCGCCGCCCGUUGUGCCGUUCAACGUAUCCGAAAGUGCAUGUGGACAGCAGUGCGCGUACAAAUCUUGGAAGAUUAUAUUUCUCUUGCCUUGUUUAUCGUACCUUCCUCAUUACAUUGUAAAAAUUGCAUGCCAUUAGCUGUGCUAGUGUUUGUGUUUGCUGGCGACAACACGCGUAUCAUUUUUCCUUACCGAUUCGUGGGCAACUUAGCGCUCAUGUGAAAGUAAAAUCAAAAUUCGCUCAAAUCAAUAAUUAAAUUGAAUUCAUUUUGUUUAAGGUGAACAUUAAACGUUUAAACGACAUUAUAAUAAUAUUUACAUUACGCUAUAAACCAACUACGAAUGCAACCCUGCUUCGUGCAUUGAGAAACGUCAAUAAGCAGGCGUCGACUCUCCGAUUAUCUGCUGUUUCGCUUUUGUGUUGUUUUUUGUCAUUUUUGUUUGUAUCUCGUCGCACUCCUCAACACGCUUUUCAUAAAGUUAUCCAACAAGUCACCAACAGUCCAUCCAAUCAGUCAUCCAUCCAAUUUGAAAUACUUUUAUGACCGUUUCUUCGUGUGUGCCCGCAGCUCGUCAACCCACACCCACACAGCUACAGCUGUUCGACGUUUUUGUGUGUUUUUUUUUUGCGUUUGCUGUUUGGAAGCAUUAACUGUGCGAUAUAUUGGCACACGCGUUAACUCGUAUUUUAGCGCUUAUGCAAAAAUUGCAAAAAUAUUAAAAAUAAAAAAAUGCAUAAUUAAAUUACAGAUUGCUUUGUGAAAAUGGUGCGAAGAAAUUGCUAAAUUAUAUUAAUAGCAGUGUCACACUAAAGUGAAACGAUUUGAAAAGUUGCAACCGCCUCCUCACCCCAUACAAAAUUGUGCUGCCUUUGUAGCGUUAUUUCGGUAUUAUUAAAAUAUGUGAAUAAGUGAAAAUAAAGGAACCGGAAAGUAGUAAAAUAAAUAUUUGAAAGAUAAGAAAUUCACUCGCUGUCCGCACUGUCUCACUUUCUUUUUCUAAUGUCUUUUCGUUGUUAAUUUCUAUGCAUUCGGUUCGCUGGAAACGUGUUGGUUUGGUGGAGGCGGCGUACAUUCGUGUUGAUAUCAAAUAUAUUGUCUAGAUAUACAUACAUAAGUACAUAUGGACGUGCUAUCAAAGUGAAUUGAACUUUCAAAUGUCGCUGAUAUUAAAAAGAGUUUCAAAAAAACCCGAAAAAUAAUUUGGCAUGAGCAUAGGCAUACAUAUAAACAUAAGUUCCAUCGAAAACAAUAACAAUUAUGCAUAUAUUAUAGGUGUUUGUAAAUAAAAAGGCAAACCAUUGUGGCCUAUAGAUCGAUAUAACCCCGCUCCGCUGUCCAAAAAAAAAAACUACAUGCGUUUCCUUUGCGGUCCCGUCCUCAACGCUUUAAAACUUUUACCUAUAAAAGCAGUAUAACAGCAGUUAAAAAAACAACAGUGCUUUCAAACCUAAUUGAUCUUCAAAAUCAAAUAAUUAAAAAUAUUAAGUGCAUAGUUCAAAAGUUUUAAGCAUAGCAAUUUAUGGCAUAUAAUGAAAAGUUAAAUUCUGUCUAUAUUGUAAGCAAAAAAUAAUCAUUAAGUUUCGCAAAAUAGCAGUGAAGUGUAAAAAAUAAAUAUUUGAAGUGAUUUAAAGUGCUAAUUUUAUAAUCAAUUUGUCAUUCCGUCAGUGGUUAUCAAUUAAGCCGUUAGUGCACGUGAUUGAAUGAUGCACUACUCAAUGGAGCGGAGUCUAUCAGCUGGUGGGGCUGAUUCCUCCAUGCACAACAACACCACCAAUAAUACCACUUCAACAACAACACUCGCGAUGUCAGCUACGAAGAACACAAAAGACGGCGUGACAAUGCGCGAGAAGAAGGGCGGCGCAUUGCAGAAGCUCAAAAAGAGGCUAUCGCACAGUUUUGGCAGAUUAACGAUAUCACGCGAGGAUGGCGAAGAUUCACAACAUCAUCAUCAUCACCACCACCAUCAUCAUCACCAUCGUGGGGGGCAUGGACAUAAUCACGGUAAUAAAGUUCCAUACAAUGGUUAUAAUUCCGAAGAAUAUCUGGAUCGUCUGGAACCAAAUGGAAAUAUACCAGCCGACAAGUCUAACUGCAGAUAUGGAGCCCAAGAAACGGCAAUACAAGACAAAACACAAGAUAAAGACUGGCGUAGCACUGACAGCACCGACCACCACGAUCGCGUCCAACGGCAAUUGUCCGUAUCAUCCGAUAGCAAAUUGCUGGACGAUGACAUUCGAGAGGAGCAGCGCGUUAUUAUGCGCCCGAAAAAGCCGCCCAGACCAAAAUCGGAGGUUUUCCUCAACAAACAAGACCCGCACCCACGACGGAAACGGUUUAGUGCAUUUGGCGGCGACUCGCCAUUUGGAAAAUCGGAUGCCUACAUAAAAUUGGAACCGCUCGGUGAGGGCUCAUAUGCCACAGUAUACAAGGGCUUCAGCAAUUUAACUCAUCAACGUGUUGCAUUAAAAGAAAUUAGACUGCAAGAGGAGGAAGGUGCCCCAUUCACCGCGAUACGUGAAGCCUCGCUGCUGAAAGAACUGAAACACUCAAACAUUGUGACGUUGCAUGACAUUGUGCACACACGGGAAACGCUGACGUUCGUUUUUGAAUAUGUGAAUACUGACUUAUCACAGUAUAUGGAAAAGCAUCCUGGCGGUCUGGAUCAUCGUAAUGUUCGCUUGUUUCUGUUUCAAUUGCUGCGUGGUCUCUCCUACUGCCAUAAGCGGCGCGUACUGCAUCGUGAUGUUAAGCCGCAAAAUUUAUUGAUAAGCGAUUGUGGUGAAUUAAAAUUGGCGGAUUUCGGUUUGGCGCGCGCUAAAAGUGUUCCCAGUCAUACGUAUUCGCAUGAAGUCGUUACGUUAUGGUACCGUCCACCAGAUGUUCUGCUUGGUAGCACUGAAUACUCGACAUCGCUGGACAUGUGGGGUGUCGGUUGUAUAUUCGUGGAAAUGGUCACUGGCAUGCCAACAUUCCCCGGCAUACGUGAUACAUAUGAUCAACUGGAUAAAAUAUUUAAAUUGCUCGGCACACCCACCGAGGAGACGUGGCCGGGUGUGACACAUUUUCCUGGUUAUAAACCGCAUAAGUUAGGUUUUUAUCGACCCCGUAAACUAGGUCACAACUUUCCUAGACUAUAUGAUAUCGUUGAUGGUGAGACGAUAGCGAAUGCCUUCCUGCAAUUAAAUCCAGAACAAAGAAUAGGAGCUGAAGAAGCGCUGCAACAUCCCUACUUUGCGCCGUUGCCGAGAAAACUUUACGAGUUGCCCGAUGAGACAUCAAUAUUUACCGUUGAGGGAGUGCACUUGUUUCCUGAACCGAACCGGCAAAAUAAAUGAAAAUUAAAGCAGGUCCUUUCGGUGGAUGGUGUACGUUUCUAUUGUUAGCAGCAACAGCCAUAAAUAUUUUCUAAUGCAAAAACAAAAGAAACAACAACUAUACUUGAUUAAUUAAGACAAACAAAAAAUAGUUAAAUAGCUGAGUAAAGUGUGUGAGAACACACGAAACAAAAACGUACUAAGUAAAAGAACUAAAGUGACUAUGUAAAACAUGAAACCAACAACAACAACAACAAGUUAAAUAUAACACACACACACUCAAACACAACUACGUAGCAAUGUAUAUACUUACUUACUUACAUAAAAUAUGAAAAUAAAAUUUAGACAAAAAAACACGGAAACAAAAACUUGAAAAUAUCACUUAGCAACUUAAACGAUUCAAUUAUAGUAAUAAAAGUGAAAAAUAAUAAACAAAUAACUGAAAACUUAGAAGCAUAGCACUAAAUAUAUUUUUAACAUUUUAAUAGAAUUUGACAGUAAAAUAUCAAAAACACGACAAAAAUAGUUGAAAUUCUUAGGUCCAAACAUAAAAAAAAAAAAAUAAUUUUUGAAAAAAUAGGUGAAGCGAAAAGCCACAACAAAAACAAGUACUAACGAACAAAUGUGAAAUUUAAGCGAAAAAAAAUGUUUUAAAAGUAUUAAGCAGAAACCGUAAAGCAGUGUCAAAUUUUGGAAUACAAACAAAAAUAAAAUAAAAUAGAAAUUGUAGUAAAACUUGUCAGAAUUACAAAAACCACAAAAAAUCAAUAGUUCUAAGCUAAACAGUAGGCAACAGACACACUAAACUAAAUUCAACUCAAAACCACAAAACUUAAUUAACAUGAUUUACAUUUACAAAUACAUA
rnacentral:misc_RNA from 1 species